CAUCUUUAUAAAAAAUUUAAUUUUUCUGAGUACAUAGUGGAUGCAUAUAUUUAUAGGGCAUAUGGGAUAUUUUGACAUUGGCAUACAAUGUGCAAUGAUCAUAUCAGGCUAAAUGGUGAAUCCAUCACCUCAGGCAUUUAUCUUUUCUUUUACAAACAAUCUAAUUAUACUCUUUUCAUUAUUUUAAAAAGUACAAUUAAGUUACUAUUAACCCAUCUUGUAUUACAGAUACAGCAAAAUCUGUUUGAGGUUAAAAAACAGACCACCAGGCCAGGCGCAGUGACUCAUGCCUAUAAUCCCAGCACUUUGGGAGGCCGAGGCGGGCAGAUCACUUGAGGUCAGGAGUUCGAGAUCAGCCUGGCCAACACUGUGAAACCCCACCUCUACUAAAAAUACAAAAAUUAGCUGGGCAUGGUGGCGCACGCCUGUAAUCCCAGCUACCCCAGAGGCUGAGGCACAAGAAUCGCUUGAACCCAGGAGGUGGAGGUUACACUGAGCCAAGACUGUGCCACUGCACUCCAGCCUGGGAAACAGAGCAAGACUCCAUCUCAAACAAACAAACAAACAAACAAAACAACAACAACAACAACAAAAAACCCAGACCACUAACCUAGAAAAGAUGUGCUUGUUGAAUAAGACUUUGAAGGGAUUCACUGCACGCAGAUGACUUUCUAAACUUCUGGGAGCUUGAGAAACACCUUCAUGGACACAUCCAUAAAUCAUGUUUUAUCAACUAUCUGGUCAUCCCGUAGCCCAGUCAGGUUGACACAUAGAAUUGACGAUUCCACCUGCCCUCCUGGCAAGUAUGUAAAGUUCAGCAAUGAGCAUCAGACCCAGAGCCAAAGAGCAUCCUUGCUGGAUUUUUGUGUCUAGAGACAAAGUAAGAGAAGUUUGUGUGAGCUUCUUAUCAGCGAUUAAAGAUAUGAAGAAAACAGAAGCUGUACCACCUGUAUUCCAUUUAUUCAAGAGAAGCAGAGGAAGGAGAGAAAAAGGAAAGCCAAUAUGCAACCUGUGCAAAGCAAAAAUCCCAGAGAGAUGAAGGUGUUGGUUUUUGCUUUUGUUUUUGCCAUGAGGAUUUUGAAGUCCUUUUGCCAAACCUGCCAUUCUGGACAAUUGUUUGAUGACUUAUCAAACUGUCAUAUCCUUUCAACAAAUCUGUUUUGUUUUGUAUUGUUUUGAUUUAAGCUAAUAGGGUUUGUUUCUGGCUUUUGCCAGAAACAAAAAAGUGAGUCUUGUCUAAUAUAGGUCAAUGGCUUUAUAUAUAAAGCUAUUGUAUUAGGACUGUUUACAACAUGAAAACAACAACAACAACAGACGUGAAAUAAUCCACAAUGUAAAUGUAGUUAAAUAAGUCAUGGUAAAAACUAUAAAAAUGAAAUAUGUUGUAGCCUUUAAAACUAUGUUUCCAAAGAUUGUUAAAUAAUCAGUGUUUAUGUAAGAAACUAUUAAGUGAGAACGCAGAAUACAAAACUAAUCAAUAUUAAUUAUGUGUGUUUGUACAUACAUAGAUGAAUGUUUAGAAGAAAAAACAUGAAAAUAUCAGGAGCAGUCAACUGUGGGUGGUGGGCUCACAGGUGGCAUGGUGUUCACGUGCUCUUUUACUUAACAAAUAUCCACCCUUGGAGAGUUCAAAAUCUAUGUGCAUCACCUUAAGACUCCUUUCUCUUUUAUUUACUUUCUGUACUGUCUAUUUCACUUCACUUCAUUAAAUCUUUUAUAUUAAGC
rnacentral:lncRNA from 10 species